AUACGUAGGUGGCAAGCGUUGUCCGGAUUUAUUGGGCGUAAAGCGAGCGCAGGCGGUUUCUUAAGUCUGAUGUGAAAGCCCCCGGCUCAACCGGGGAGGGUCGUUGGAAACUGGGAGACUUGAGUGCAGAAGAGGAGAGUGGAAUUCCAUGUGUAGCGGUGAAAUGCGUAGAUAUAUGGAGGAACACCAGUGGCGAAGGCGACUCUCUGGUCUGUAACUGACGCUGAGGCUCGAAAGCGUGGGGAGCAAACAGGAUUAGAUACCCUGGUAGUCCACGCCGUAAACGAUGAGUGCUAAGUGUUGGAGGGUUUCCGCCCUUCAGUGCUGCAGCUAACGCAUUAAGCACUCCGCCUGGGGAGUACGACCGCAAGGUUGAAACUCAAAUGAAUUGACGGGG
rnacentral:rRNA from 1 species